UUGGCUCAGGACGAACGCUGGCGGCGCGCCUAACACAUGCAAGUCGAACGGCACCCCUCUCCGGAGGGAAGCGAGUGGCGAACGGCUGAGUAACACGUGGAGAACCUGCCCCCUCCCCCGGGAUAGCCGCCCGAAAGGACGGGUAAUACCGGAUACCCCGGGGUGCCGCAUGGCACCCCGGCUAAAGCCCCGACGGGAGGGGAUGGCUCCGCGGCCCAUCAGGUAGACGGCGGGGUGACGGCCCACCGUGCCGACAACGGGUAGUUUUU
rnacentral:rRNA from 1 species